rnacentral:rRNA from 1 species
AGGGCACCACCAGGAGUGGAGCCUGCGGCUUAAUUUGACUCAACACGGGAAAACUCACCCGGCCCGGACACCGUAAGGAUUGACAGACUGAGAGCUCUUUCUUAAUUCGGUGGGUGGUGGUGCAUGGCCGUUCUUAGUUGGUGGAGCGAUUUGUCUGGUUAAUUCCGAUAACGAACGAGACUCUGGCCUAUUAAAUAGUCGGUAUAUCCAGAAAAGUUUACCGUACUUCUUAGAGGGACAAACGGCGUCUAGCCGCGUGAAAUAGAGCAAUAACAGGUCUGUGAUGCCCUUAGAUGUCCGGGGCUGCACGCGCGCUACACUGAAAGAAUCAGUAUGCGCUUUAACCUAGUCCGGAAGGAUUGGGUAACCCGAGCAAAUUCUUUCGUGCUUGGGAUAGGGAAUUGCAAUUAUUUCCCUUAAACGAGGAAUUCCCAGUAAGUGCGAGUCAUAAGCUCGCGUUGAUUACGUCCCUGCCCUUUGUACACACCGCCCGUCGCUACUACCGAUUGGAUGACUUAG